AUAACCGCUGAAAGCAUCUAAGCGGGAAGCCCCCCUCAAGAUUAGUUCUCACUGGGAACUUGAUUCCCCUAAAGAGCCGUUGAAGACUACAACGUUGAUAGGCUGGGUGUGUAAGCGCUGUGAGGCGUUGAGCUAACCAGUACUAAUUGCUCGUGAGGCUUGACU
rnacentral:rRNA from 11 species